AUCGGUGACAGGUUGGUGCUAUGGUUGUCGUCAGCUCGUGUCGUGAGAUGUUGGGUUAAGUCCCGCAACGAGCGCAACCCCUAUUGUUAGUUGCCAUCAUUCAGUUGGGCACUCUAGCGAGACUGCCGGUAAUAAACCGGAGGAAGGUGGGGAUGACGUCAAAUCAUCAUGCCCCUUAUGACCUGGGCUACACACGUGCUACAAUGGUUGGUACAACGAGUUGCGAGUCGGUGACGGCGAGCUAAUCUCUUAAAGCCAAUCUCAGUUCGGAUUGUAGGCUGCAACUCGCCUACAUGAAGUCGGAAUCGCUAGUAAUCGCGGAUCAGCACGCCGCGGUGAAUACGUUCCCGAGCCUU
rnacentral:rRNA from 1 species